rnacentral:rRNA from 1 species
AUUGAACGCUGGCGGCAUGCCUUACACAUGCAAGUCGAACAGUAACGGGCCUUCGGGUGCCGACGAGUGGCGAACGGGUGAGUAAUGUAUCGGAACGUACCUUUCCGCGGGGGAUAACGUAGCGAAAGUUACGCUAAUACCGCAUAUUCUGUGAGCAGGAAAGCGGGGGAUCGCAAGAUCUCGCGCGAUUGGAGCGGCCGAUGUCAGAUUAGGUAGUUGGUGGGGGAAAGGCCUAUCAGGCCGACGAUCUGUAGCUGGUCUUAGUGUACGCCCCGCCACGUUGGCACUGUGACGCGGCCGAGACUCCUACGGGUGGCAGCAGUGGGGAAUUUUGGACAAUGGGCGCAAGCCUGAUCGAGCCAUUCCGCGUGCAGGAUGAAGGCCUUCGGGUUGUAAACUGCUUUUGUACGGAACGAAAAGGCUCUGGUUAAUACCUUGAGCUCAUGAUGGUACCGUAAGAAUAAGCACCGGCUAACUACGUGCCAUCCGCCGCGGUAAUAC